GUAGUCGGAUUCACAUCAAUCCAUAUAUAUAUAUUAGAGUGGAUUGGAGUGAAACUUAAACUAAAUUCCACCUCAAUUCACUUCAAUACAUGUGGAUUGAGGUGAAUCCGACA
rfam:Sorghum bicolor cultivar BTx623 chromosome 1, whole genome shotgun sequence.